UACAAAAAAUGUUUUUUAUGACUUUCUGGAAGUAUCCAGAUGAUGUAGUCUGAAAAGCAAAUCUCUCUUCAUGUACAGAUACUUUCUCAUUGUACCCUGGUCCCCGUGCUUUACACAGCAAUACACAGAUAUUGCUUUCACUAGUAACACUGAAAUUGUGAUUUUAAAUUACAUUUUUUCCUACCAGUGUAGGCUGCUUUUAUCAUGGUGAGAGAAAGCCAGAUCAUGAAGAUUGGUCCUGCAAUGAAUACAAGUACCAACUCAUCUACGAGACUGUGCCUUCAAAGCCUGAACCACGCUAUUUUUCUGGCAUUUUGUUUGGGAAAACUGUAGAGUUGUAACUUUCAUGCAUGUCUGAUGGCUUUUCUCAAAAGCUAAACAUAGAAGGAGGAUGGUACUGAAGGCUUGAAUACUUAUUUCUACAUACAUUUAUACGGAUGUUCUUGAUCAGCUAAAUGGAACAAUUCAAAUAUCCCAAAUAAAUUAAUUGCUCUGGGAGCACGUUAAUAAGACUGACUGAUACACUGUGCCCUCACCUUCUAUGAGCUCUUACUGCUGCAGUCUUCAGCACUUCAUGUUUGUCUGUAUGAACCCAAUUUGAUGCAUGCAAGAUGAGGGUGGGCUGGGAGCAGUGCUUUGGGCUUUGGUACCACUAACACUGAAGAAACCAGUGUUACUGCUCUGGGAGAGCAGUGUGCUAACUGUGGACUAAUCACCUCCCCUGAAGGUCAGAAGAUCAAGCAGUAAGAUAGCCAAAUAACUGAACAUGAUCAGAAGGCAGUAGCUAUGAGUAGAUGCUCCGCAGAGCACAUAAAAUCUGCUGAAAGAUAACUUUGGGUAAAUUUGGUAGAGAAAGUCAAGCAGCUCCAUUAAAUACAUGGGUUUUACCGCCAGUUUAAGUCCUCAUUUCUUGGUCUUUAUUAUCUCAUUUCUAGUUUAUCUCCCUAGCCUAAUUUGCCCUCUCUCCAAAUGUCUCCAUUCACUUUAAUUAUCUGUUUCUUGACAGUGUCUUUAAGCUAAGAGACUUUGAGAAAAAAGAGCAUCUCUGUGUAGCAAAAGACAGGGAGCCAGGAAGGUGGGGUGAGAAAUGCCUUUGCUGCCAUUAAAUAAAUAUUUUAAAAAUGUUAAAGUUGAACAACUAGCUAUUCCUAUGGUUCCAGUAGAAAUUUCUUUUUCUUUUUUGAAGGAAUGUGCAUUUUCUGGGCAUAUGUUCUUCAGCACUGGGUGUUCCAGCUCACUACAUGCUAGAAAGUCCCUUGUUGGCACUGAUUUCAUGGCUUUUGCAGGGUUCUGCUCCAUUGCUGCAAAACUGUUCACUGGUAGUGGAGCCAAACCUACAGGUAAAACUUGUGUAGAAAAGGUUUAUUGCUCAUGUUCGAAGAACACACAUGUUGGAGGUGAUCCAGUGGCAUUGCUUGUUUUCAGCUUUGCUUGCUUCAGUGUUGGUGAGAUGCCAAGAUGAGGAAUUGGUGCCCCUGGUCAGGUUUCACCAGGACAGCACUGUAUGUUAGAGAGUCCAUUUUGGAAGGCUCAGGGAUGAGAAGGGAUAUCCCUGAGUAGUGGAAAUUACCCCUGAAAUCCACUCAUGGGGUAAUUAGAGAUCAUACAUCUUCCAUGGUGCAGUGAAAUUGCAGAUAAAGCAGGAAGUGUGAUAAAAGCCUACAGAAAGAAAAGGUCCAUCCGUGAAGGAAGGGGGUAGAAGGGACAAAGAGAAAGCUGUGGAUGAAGUGUGGCUGUAUUUUAGUGUUCACCUCGUUUAGUGUGCAUGCAGGUAUUGAAGGGCAUGAGCACAGAGGUGGUUGAGUCAGUUACUUUAUCAGUCGUAAAGAGGUAAUCAUGACCCUUAUUUGACUGAAGACUGUAAAAGGAGACUCGAUGCUAGCAUUUACUGUAUUUUUCUCCCCCUCUAUUUAAAGGACGGCAAAUUUUGAAUUAUGGUAAUAGCUGUGCUCUUGUUUUAGGACUAGCCUCCCUGAAAUUUUCAGGACCACUAAUUUGUGGUUACUCCAGUGUUAGAAUGGACUCAGUGGUGGUGGCCUUUAGACUGACAAUGCAGUAAAAGUUUAAAGCUGCAACUGCUUCAGAGCCAAAGAAAGAGAGAAGAUUGAAACCUAAAGGUUAGCAUGAAAUGCACUUUACUGUUAUCUAUGAGAACAAAUGAGUUAAAAAAAUUUCAAAUACCAGAAUACCCUACAGGGAGGAGAUAUAACUAUUAAAGGGCUGUUAUAGCUGCAAUAAAUGUAGGAACAAUAAAAAUAAAUUGAUGAAGUAAAUGUCAGCGCUGUUCCCCUGAGCUGCCCCCACACCUUUGUCCAAAAGUAGAACAUCUCCAAUUACAGAGGGUGGAAUCAGCCUUCAAUGACAAUAUGACAAGGACAGAACACAGAGCAGCGGUAAAGGGAACACAAUUACACACAGCCUUGAAAAAUUGUAUCAUAGUGUAACGUACGGAAGAAAUCAAUUAAUGAUGCAGGGCUUCUACUUCUGUCUAAUAAUCCUGCAAGAGAAGGAUAACCAUCGCCCCUCCUUGCACUGAAAAGGGAGAAGGAAACAACAAAAAGAAUGAAUGACCCAUAAAUGAAAGUCUGCGUAAUACCACAGGUCAACAUGUGCACACUUAACAGUGUGUGAAUACUCCUCUUUACCUGUUAUUAUUUUUAAAGCUGUAGAUUUUAAGAAAGUAUUUAAAUGAAACCCACUUCAUUGGUUAAAUAGCCGAUUGAAAAAAAAGAUUUCUUUGGUGAAAAAAACAAAGGCGAGAAAAGGAGACAGAUCAAAUCCAAAGCAACAAACUGAAAGGGAAAUGCAUAAUUUGGGAGUAAACAAAGUAGAUGGUAGAAGACGAUUUAUCCUGUGCAAUUUACAACAGGUGCUAAACAUUACGAAAACCAGAGCUAUUAAGCAAUCAAAUUAAGCUAUAAUUAACAGAAUAAAACUGUGCAGGAAUUCUAAUUAAUACAUAUCUGAACACAUCUAUGAUCCCCUCCGACAACUCUGCUUUUUAAACUCCUGUUACUACCCAGGAAUAACUUAAGGGGUCAUACAGCCAUACUUUGGGAGUGCAUAGGAUUUUAUAGGUAUCUGUGGCUAGUGAGGUUUCCCACAAGAGCUAAAGGCCUCUAUGCUGGUUUGAAGGGAGACGUUUCAUUUCGGAGAUGAUAUGCUGGUAGGAAGGUGGUAGGAAAACAGACUGCCUGGGUGGGACUGCUCAGGAUGAUAUAGACCCAUUUCCCUGUGUUACUCUUAGUGAUGGAGGAUCUUUGCAACUCUCAAGGAACUGAGGAGUAAACUCCACUCUAGCUUUUGUUAACCAUUUUAUUUAAAAAUAAAAAUACAUGGUUGAAUUUCUUCUACCUCAGCCUACUAUUUUCUAUUUACUGGUUCCUGCCUCCUUGCAGAAGUCAAAACCAUAGCAAUGUAGGAUGUGUACUGGAUUCCUGGUACGUGCAGGUCUGGCAGCAGCUGCGCCUGAACAGAAAUGCUCCGGUAGAUGCUCUUGAAAAUAGAGGACAUAUGACCAAAACUUUAAUUCCUGCUUUGUCAGAGACCUGUUCUGUCAUUUGAAUGAGGCAGCGGUUUAAAUGUAUGUCCUCGGCACUCCAGGCAGCAAACAGCUGUGUGGGAUGGCUGAAGUGUGGCACAUUUGCACAACCUUGGUUGAAAGCAGAGCUCUGUGUGCCUGUCUUCAUACUUCCCAAGCGGAAAUAAUGAUACUUCCCUACCUUACAGCAGUGUUGUGAAGAUCAACUGGCUAAUGACUGUAUGGUACUUUUAAGUACUAUCAUUAUAGUACUAUAGUCUCUCUUAGGGAGGAUUUGUUAUUUUUAUAAAAUUAAUUGUAAAUCCAAUAGAAAAUCAUUCAGUCUCUGAAAUUCUGGUGAGAUAAUUAUUGUGAAGAUGGUAUUAGUAUAGAUGAUUCACUGCUUUAAUUGUUAGUUUCUAAUUCUAUGCAAAUAUCAUUUAGAACCCCUCUACCCUUCUCACGAGCUGGCUACAUUACCCCCUCAAAUAACUACUUGGCUGACUUGCUCAACUCCCGGCUCGUCCUCUGCAGGUAGAUUGCUCUGGCUGACAGUGGAGCUUGCUGAGAAGGCCAAGACUGCUGGUGGCUGAGCUCAGUGGUUAGCCUUCGUGUGCAGCUGGUUCUUUCCUUGGGUUUGUCCUCACCAAAUAUCUUCAACCAUGAUUUCUCCUGUGUUGUUUUGGCCAGGACAAAAGCCCAUGGUAAAUUUUUAGGGCAAUAAACAAAGAGGUGUGUUGUGAAGGCUAACCAAAAUUACUGCUGCAGACUGAGGCAGGGUUGGAUGGAAACCACUCAGACUGUGAUCAUUCUGCCCCAAACUUGCAAAUGCCAUGUUGGUUUUGGAGCGGUUAGGUGCAUUUAACCUGGCCUAUUCCACAGGGUAAGUUUCCCUCUGUGGUUUUCCAGAUAAUUUUUGCAACAAACUUCCUGGUUUUGCACAUAUCACCUUUGCCAAUGAUUGUUUUCUUCUUUUUUUUUUUUUCUGAUCCGAGGCCCAGGUCCCUCCAGAGCAGCCCCUGCUGACUGUGUAUGCUGUUCCUGGGAGCUCAACAAACAUCCACCACAGAGAUUGCAUUGCUUCUGUUUUCAGCUUCUAUUAAUUUGUGAAUGGAUUUUUGAUGAUUAAGAUGAAGCCUGAGCUGCUUCUGGUGGGAAUUCUACUAUGCCAAAAAUGAGACCAUGGACAUAGGUCACUGGAGUCACUGGGGCUCUCCCAGUCUUCUAGGAGAGAAGGAGUGAAGCGAACUGUGGCUGUUGAGUUCCCUGCAUCUCUGUGCUCCUCUGAGGCAGAUGAUGGCAAUAGCUGAAGGCACCUUUCUCUCCUAGUAAAUUGAGCCAGAGCUUGAUGCUUGGACGUACUUGAACUGACGACUCAAGAAAACUUGGCUGGUUUUGGGUCCUUGCUGUUUGCAUCCUGGAGUUACACAGCACCGAGCAAUCCCUCAAGACUUCCCUUGGCUCUCAAACCCUGUCUCAUCAACAUUCAUGCACAUACUGCAACAUUCGUUCAUGCACCGCUAAAGGAAAAACAGGAAAACUAAGAUAUCAGACCACCUGGGGAUUAAAAAGCAUUUGAUGUAUCUGAUGUCCAGAACAGAUGAUAGAAGACAUGGGCAGAAGCAUGUCUGCCACCAUCCUUCCACGAAAGCCCUGGAUGCCCAGUGACAGGAGAGCACCAGGAGAAUGGUCCUCAGUUGUCAGCCAGAAAGACAUCAGAAACUAUGCCAAUUUUGAGGUGACGUUUUCCUGUAAGCGCUUCCAACCGGGAAGAACUUGUGCUCUUUACUGGGAGAAGAGAAGGCUGAGGCUUUUGCCCCAUGCAACUUUCUGGGAAACCCUCGAGAGUACCUGGGAGUGGAGUCGGGGAAGAGAGGCCCAACUGAGGCACUGCUGAACAGGCCUGGGACUGCCAACUUGAACCAACCCAAGACAAGGCACUAAGACUUGUCCUCAGACUUGCACUGGGGCUGCAGGUGUGUCACGAAACAUUUAUGAAUGUGUUUUCUUGGAAAAGCUGGAUGGAAAUCUCAUGACUACAGGUUCACUGGGGAACAUCUCCAGUUAUUGCUGGUUUUAGUUAUUUUCUGUGUUGGGAAUGGUGCCAGAUCAUUGGCCAAAGGGGAGCAUGCUUUCAGGUUGGUGGGCUUCCAACAGGAGAUCUCUGUGUUCUUCAAACCAACCCAUCUCCCUAGUAGGCUCUUCAGUGUGAAAACCAAAGCACCCCGAAGCUGAAGUUAGUCUUUUUCGUGCCUCCAUUUGGUUCUGUGGAGGUGGUGGGUGAGACCAGGACUAAUUUGAGCAGAUCCUGGAGGAAAUCUGAACGUGUGGGAGUGCCUGGGAUCCCAUGAGAAACAGCAGAAGGAAACACAGGGAUGUAUGGGCAACUUUGCUGAGAUAUUUUCAUGUCUCCUCCUCUCUUUCAGUGAUUUUAAAAUUGUUUUUAUCCCUUAAAGUGUAAAACAUUUAUUACAAAUACCAACACAAAUUUCCUUUCAGUAGGAUAAACACUCAGCUGUUCCACUUACUGGAAUGCUAUAACACAAACAAAAAUAAACGCAAUGAUUUUUGCUGUGAAUUCCUCCUCUGGUAUGAAGUAGUAUUUCUGCAUUGUAAUCAAAGCAGUGUUUAUGUUUGCCUCAGAGCAAUGGAGGGUGAAUUAUAGGAUCCCACAUGUACUCUUAUAUAGUGGAAAGAUAAGGAGCAUGGAGCAAAGAAAAAAGUGCAAGUGACCCGCUCAGUAACAGCACCAGUGUUUGGUUGCAGGUAGCAGUUGGAUUGGUAUAAGUGAGGGCAAAAUGAGAAGCCCUGGCUAUAUCCUUGUGUAAACCACCAGACUCAGGGUCUUGUCUGCUUUUGUUUACCCAACACUGGGCUGCACCAGGCUGAAAAGAUAACAAAGGUGAGUUGGGAUGGUAUGCAACUUAUUUUACACCAGUUUUGUGUGUUGGCUUUCCCAAGUUUUCUUUAAGAUUUUUCUUAUGACCUUGAGGAUUAGCAACUGUUACAAUUAUAAACUUGAAAUAACAUAUAAUCAUUUAAGAACAGGAGCUGUGACUUUUGAGAUAAACAUCAUCAAAUUUUUGAAUAUGAGGAUUUGCUCUGACUGUAGUAUUUUCAGCUUUGUUAUAUACUAUAAUGUUAAAAUAUAAAUGUCUAAAGCUUUUGACUGUUACAGUCAUAACAUAAUAGUAGUAGCCAACUAAUUUGGCCCAAAAUGAAAAGUCAUAAUACAGUAAUAGUCAAAAUAUUUUCACCAUCUGUAAGUUAUAGUAUAAUGUAAGAAUCGAGUUAACAAACUGGAAAGAAAAAAAAACAACAACAAAAACACCCUUAAAUUUAUGAAAAUGAAAGAUUUUAAUCACACCACAAUCAAUCGUUUUGAUGAGGUCAAAAUCAAAUACCAUUUUUAUUUUUCUACCAUAGCCUCUCAUGCUCAGUUUCAUGUGAAAAUUUGGAGUUUCCCUUGCAGUGAAAGUCCUUUGCUGUCAUUAGUGGGAUGGCUUGGGAUGCUCUCCUCAGUCAUAGUUGUGCCACCAUUUUUUCCAGUGCGACGUGCCAUUAUCCUUGAUAGCAUCACGAGGCAGUGAACUCUACGGGCUUAAUUGCACAUUGGGUUUUUUUGUGCGUCCUUUUACACUGGUUUUAUGUUCAUAACUCUCAGCUUAUCCAUGUGCCUGCCUGGCCCGGUGCUAUGGGGAGCACAGAAUACAGUCGUGCAGCUGAAGUUGAAGGUGCAGAAUCAGAGAUGUUCAGUGAAACAAGAGCAGUGGGAAGCUCCAGUCUGGACUGUUUGACCAGAAUAGGUGUUUGUAUUUCAAGAAAGCAGAUUUUGCACCUUGGCAAGCGAGACUGUAACAAAACCAUGUUCCUACUGUGCAUGCCUGGGACAGUGAAUGUGGUGGGGAGAGCAAUGCCCAAUGGGAAAAAGCUAAAACAAAAAUCUACCCUCGCCAAAGCUGUGCAGGAGCACAGGAGACAGCGGUCAGCAACAGUGCACAGAGCUGAGCCUGGUGCUGCCUAGCAGGAGGAGCUGUGCCUACUGUGAGUGCUGGGAAGCACUUGGCAGUGAGCUCCCGAGGCAUGUCUGCAAUCAGAGAAAAUGCUCUUCUGAGACACUGAGCCUGGGUCUGUCCCUGGCCUUUUGUUAAAAGUCUCUGUUUUGCUUCCCUGAAGGAGCAGUAGUCAAAAAGAAAAGCCCCUCAUAAACACACGCGUGCUAAUUCUGGCCAAGUGUGGAAAGGUUUUUGUUGAUACGCUCUUUAAAAGCACGAUCUGUUUUCUGCUUCCAGUUAAAAAGGGUAGUGGCAGUCUUUAGUGGCUGUGUCAGUGUAGCCCAUAUUAUUAUGUACAGAUGUGCCAGCUGCAAGUAGGCAUUAUCUCUUUGAUAGUGCUAAGCACUUUACAGUGGGUCAGAGAAGUGCAGCUCUCAACCAAUAGAUCUAAUUGCAAUCCUUUUAUGUUCUCUAUGAUUGCCGGUUUCUCCAGCACUAUAAACAAAUAGUAAUCAACUAAACCUGUUACCUCUGAGCAGCAAUGUCACGAUAUGAAGUAUUAACUGUUCAAAAUACAGUAAUGAUGGUUUAAAACUGUAUUUGUUCUCAAAGGUAAAAAAUAAGGAAAAUCAGGAGCAUGAGCACUGGCAGCAUGAAGAGCCCUCUGGCUCUCUUUCAUCUAAUGAAAAAUUGUGUCUGUAUAUGACAUGUUUUAUGUGGUCAAAUACAGUGUAAAUAUUGUGUACAUCUUUUGCUAUAGCAACAACAUAUUAACAGUACCACAAAUAAUCUCUGCCUCUGAAUCUACAUUUUUAUGACAUCAUUAUGCUAAUACAAGCAAACUUAUAUUUUGCUAUGAAUCUAAUACACCUCAAAUUAAUCCAUUUGUAUUCCUAUAAUCCAGGCAACUUUUCUCACCUCAAGAAAUAUUAGGUGCAGUCACACAUAGGGUAGGCUCAAGCCGAGAGAGGAGAGGGAUGUGUUCUCAUUUGUUUUUUCCUAUCUCAGGAACAUUUUGGUGGAAUUCCUUUUUGUCGGUACUCAAACUGAGAUGUUUCUGCCCUGUGCUUGGAGCAUUUCCUCUGCCAUGUUUGCAGCAAACUGGACUGCACUGGGCUCAGAAAAUGGCCCCAGGAGCUGGAUCCCAGGGCAGGGGUUGGUGUGGUAACUCCUGAUGUGGAGCUCAGGGGCUGGUGAUGCUUGGCUGCGCGCAGUGGCUUCAUUCAGAUGUGGAGAUUCAGCUCCUCGGGUGCGAGGGAUCUGGUGGGAGCAGCUCAAGGUGCCCCAGCCCGUGCCAGGGGCAGGACCCUGCUGGUGCUAUCCGCUUUCCAGAGCACCUCACUCAUCCAGGAAUGAGGGACGGAGUCUGGGAAUUGCAAUGUCUUUAAAACGAAAAUAAGCUUUUGUAUCAGCCAGCUGGCGAAAGAAUAAAAGACUGUGCUCACAAGAUGCAAUCAGAAUUCAGCAGUGUUUUAUUAAACAUGUAAUAUUAUCAAACUAAACAAAAGAGCCCUCAAUGGCUGAUAAUACAAUGCGAUACAAUAUAUUCUUUUUCUUGUGGUGUCAUUCAUGCAAAAGUAUCAUUGAGCAUUUGGCUUCCUUGACAAGCUGCACAUGUAAAUACCAGUGCGGUGCAUGGGCUUGACAAUGGGACAUGAUGUGUCCCGCAACUCUCCGUGCUCAUUUUAUUUUGUCUCCAGAUAACUUCUGCUGAUGCUCAGGGAAAAGAUGCGGGCUAUGUAAUGAACUGGAGAAGUACCUAGGUGUAAUGGCCUGCUAAGGACCAUUUCUGAUACC